UUGCAGUGAUGACCAUUUAGGACACCUUUGUAUUAACCAUGAAAAUAAAACCAAGUCUGAGCGAU